rnacentral:misc_RNA from 1 species
GAUGAAGAACGCAGCGAAAUGCGAUAAGUAGUGUGAAUUGCAGAAUUCAGUGAAUCAUCGAAUCUUUGAACGCACAUUGCGCCCUUUGGUAUUCCUUAGGGCAUGCCUGUUCGAGCGUCAUUUGAAACCUCAAGCUCAGCUUGGUGUUGGGUGUCUGUCCCCGCCUCACCGCGGGGACUCGCCUCAAAAUCAUUGGCGGCCGGUACGUUGGCUUCGAGCGCAGCAGAAACGCGAACUCGAGGCCCGGCGGAUCGGCGACCAGAAGUCACUUCUUCACAGUUUGACCUCGGAUCAGGUAGGGAUACCCGCUGAACUUAAGCAUAUCAAUAAGCGAGGA